GGGGCCUUAGCUCAGCUGGGAGAGCGCCUGCCUUGCACGCAGGAGGUCAUCGGUUCGAUCCCGAUAGGCUCCACCA
rnacentral:tRNA from 1 species